rnacentral:tRNA from 4 species
GCGGGUGUAGCUCAGUUGGUAGAGCGACAGCCUUCCAAGCUGUAGGUCGCCGGUUCGAACCUGGUCACCCGCUCAA